rnacentral:rRNA from 1 species
GUUGAACGCUGGCGGCGUGCCUAAUACAUGCCAGUCGAGCGAACAGAUGAGGCGCUUGCUCCUCUGACGUUAGCGGCGGACGGGUGAGUCACACGUGGAUAACCUACAUAUAAGACUGGGAUAACUUCGGGAAACCGGAGAUCACACCGGUUCAUAUAUUGAACCGCAUGGUUCAUUAGAGAUAGACGGUUUUGAUGUCACUUAUAGAUGUACCCGGGCCGCAUUAGUUAUUUGGUACGUUAACGACUUACCAAGGCAACGAUGCGUAGCCGACCAGGAAGAGUGUUAGGCCACACUGGAACGGAGAAAGGUUCCAGACCCCUACGGAGGGCAGCAGGAGGAAAUUUGCCGCAAUGGGCGAAGGCCUGACGAAGCAACGCGGCGGGAGUGAGGAAGGUCUUCGGAUCGUAAAACUCUGUUAUUGGGGAAGAACAAAGUUGGAAGUAACUAUGCACGUCUGGACUGUACCUAAGCAGAAAGCCACGGCAAACUACUG